AUUGAACGCUGGCGGCGUGCUUAACACAUGCAAGUCGAGCGGUAACAGGCGUAGCAAUACGUGCUGACGAGCGGCGAACGGGUGCGUAAUACAUCGGAAUCUGCCUCGUAGUGGGGAAUAACCCGGCGAAAGCCGGGCUAAUGCCGCAUACGAUCCACGGAUGAAAGCGGGGGACCUUCGGGCCUCGCGCUAUGAGAUGAGCCGAUGUCGGAUUAGCUAGUGGUGAGGUAACGGCUCACCAAGGCGACGAUCCGUAGCUGGUCUGAGAGGACGGCCAGCCACACUGGGACUGAGACACGGCCCAGACUCCUACGGGAGGCAGCAGUGGGGAAUAUUGGACAAUGGGGGAAACCCUGAUCCAGCGACGCCGCGUGUGUGAAGAAGGCCU
rnacentral:rRNA from 1 species